CUCCCGAUAAGAAUUUUCAUGUUUGUCCUUUAUGAGACAUGAUAAGGAAAGAAUCAUUGCACUGUCUUUCACAUAUCGUUUGGCUCAGACAAGGCAAACACCACAUAGAACACCAACACUUGCAGAAUACUUCCAACCGUAUGAUGGGCUACUAAACAAACCUGACAGCUUCUGGGAACCAAGCACAAGCAGCGUGCUGGGCAGAAAAUCCAGUUCUUCUUGUACUUCCUAGUGACCAAAUAUUUGUUUAACAGAAACAUUUUGUGCCUCUCUGGUAUUAUUGCAAUUGAUUCAUCUGUUCAGAUUCUUAAAUUAUCCACUACUGGGGGAAAAACAUAUCUCAUACUGAAGGCGUUCGUGCUGAUGUGACUCAGGAAACAGUGCUCCUAUCAUCCUUGACCCUUGCCCAUGCUGGCUGGAGCUGAUGGGAGUUGGCAUCUGGAGUAUCAUAGGUUCUCCAUCCUUGCAAUACAACAUACCAGAGCUUAGCUUUCACCAAAGUCUAUUUUAAUUUGCCAGUGGCAGGAAAUACACAGGAAAGAUGGCACACAUUCAAAUUAUUUAUGAGAACAAUAAUUACUGUUUUCAAAGCUUUCCAUUUGUGUCUCAGAGGACAGCUGUAGGAACUGCAUCAGAGUGGUGUGUAGGUAUAAGCAAGGUGAGGCUGUCAACGUGCUGAACCGAUGCCUGGCUGCGACAAUGGACUGGAUGAGAGCUAACAAACUGAGGCUCAAUCCAGACAAGACUGAGAUGCUGUUAGUGGGUGGUUCUUCUGACCAGAUGGUGGACGCUCAACCUGUCCUGGAUGGGGUUGCACUCCCCCUGAAGGAACAGGUUCGUAGCUUGGGAGUACUUUUAGAACCAUCCCUGUCACUUGAGGCUUCAAGUAGCCUCGGUGGCACAGAGUGCUUUCUACCAACUUUGGUUGGUGGCCCAGCUACGCCCCUAUCUGGACAGGGACGACCUUGCUUCAGUUGUCCACGCUCUGGUAACCUCUAGACUAGAUUACUGCAAUGCGCUCUACGUGGGACUGCCUUUGAAGACGGUUCGGAAACUGCAGCUUGUGCAAAAUGCAGCGGCCAGAUUGUUAACAUGGACCAGGCGGUCCGAACAUAUAACACCGGUUCUGGCCCUCUUGCAUUGGCUGCCUAUAUGUUUCCGGGCUCAAUUCAAGGUGCUGGUUUUAACCUAUAAAGCCUUACACGGCCUGGGACCACGAUACUUGAUGGAACGCCUCUCCCAAUAUGAACCUACCCGUACACUGCGCUCAACAUCGAAGGCCCUUCUCCGGGUGCCCACUCAGAGGGAAGCCCGGAGGAUGGUAACAAGAAAAAGGGCCUUCUCAGUGGUGGCCCCCGAAUUGUGGAAUAAUUUCCCUGAUGAGGUACGCCUGGCGCCAACAUUGUUGUCUUUUCGGCACCAGGUUAAGACCUACCUCUUCUCCCAGGCAUUCUAGCAUUUUAGCAUUUUAGCAUUUUAGCAUUUUAGCAUUUUAGCAUUUUAGCAUUUUAGUAUUGUAGUAUUUAGCAUUUUGUAUUUUUAGUAUUUUAGUAUUUUAGUUUAGUAUAGGUUUUUUGGAAAUUUAAUGAGUUAUGUUUUAAAUUGAUUAA